rnacentral:rRNA from 1 species
GGAGCUAUUGGCUUUGAAUUGUAUUGUGGAAAUGUAUUACCAACAGAGGUGCAGGUGCCAGCCUAUUGAAAUAAAGCGUCAAUGAGGGUGAGAAUCCUGUUUGUCAUGUGCAGCCCUUUGUGCACGGUGUAUAUUUGCUGAGUCACACUCCUUGGCAUUGGAAUGCAAAGUGGGUGGUAAGUUUCAUGUAAAGGUAAACAUGCAAUUGAGACUGAUAGCACACAAGUACCAUGAGGGAAAUAUGAAAAGGACUUUGAAAAGAGAAUUAAAUGAGUUUGUAUUUGCUGAACACAAAGUAAACAGACUUGAUUUGCUUGGUGGGAGUGUUGCACUUGCUUGACAAGAGCUUUGGGCUGUGGGUGUAAUGAUUCUUUCUUUGCAUGCCAGUUUCUAUUUGUACAUCUGAUUACCUUUGCACAUGAAUGAUAAGUCUCCUGUGGGGGGUGGAUUGCAUGUGCAUGUAAUGAUUUGUGUUUUGAUAAAUGUGUCUGGUGUAUGUGUGUGUUCCUGUGCUUGGGGAUGCUUCCUUCCUUGGACUUACAAGCCCUGACACACACAUGCUGGCAAAAUGCUUCUGCUUGACCCGUCUUGAAACACGGACCAAGGAGUCUAACAGAUGUGCAAAGUUUGAAGGUGGUAUACCUUUGUGUGCAAUGAAAGUGUCAGCUGGGAUAUGUGCACCAGCACCCAAUUAAUUAGCGGACAGAGGUUUGAGUUGGAGCAUAUCUAUUAGGACCCGAAAGAUGGUGAACUAUGCCUGAACAGAAUGAAUUCAGAGGAAACUCUGAUGGAGGUUCGUAUCGAUACUGACGUGCAAAUCGUUCGUCAUAUUUG